rnacentral:rRNA from 1 species
ACCGGCAGCUCAAGUGGUGGCCAUUUUUAUUGGGCCUAAAGCGUUCGUAGCCGGUUUGACAAGUCUCUGGUGAAAUCCCGCAGCUUAACUGUGGGACUUGCUGGAGAUACUGUUAGACUUGAGGUCGGGAGAGGUUAGGGGUACUCCAAGGGUAGGGGUGAAAUCCUAUAAUCCUGGAAGGACCACCAGUGGCGAAGGCGCCUAACCAGAACGGACCUGACGGUGAGGAACGAAAGCCAGGGGCGCGAACCG